rnacentral:tRNA from 1 species
GGGUCCAUAGCUCAGUAGGCAGAGCAACCGCCUUUUAAGCGGUCGGUCGGAGGUUCGACCCCUCCUGGACCCACCA